rnacentral:misc_RNA from 1 species
GAUGAAGAACGCAGCGAAAUGCGAUAAGUAAUGUGAAUUGCAGAAUUCAGUGAAUCAUCGAAUCUUUGAACGCACCUUGCGCCCUUUGGCUAUUCCGAAGGGCAUGCCUGUUUGAGUAUCAUGAACACCUCAACUCUCAUGGUUUGCCAUGAUGAGCUUGGACUCUGGGGGUCUUGCUGGCCUAUGGUCAGCUCCUCUCAAAUAAAUCAGCUUGCCAGUGUUUGGUGGCAUCACAGGUGUGAUAACUAUCUACGCUUGUGGUUUUCCAUCAGGUAACCUUCAGUGAUGGAGGUUCGCUGGAGAUCAUAAAUGUCCCUCCUCAGCGAGGACAGCUUUUUGAACGUUUGAUCUCAAAUCAGGUAGGACUACCCGCUGAACUUAAGCAUAUCAAUAAGCGGAGGA